rnacentral:sRNA from 1 species
CUUUAACAAUACGGAACAAGCUGAAAAUUUGAAAACAAUGAAUAACGUUAAGUUAUUCAGAGUCUCUCAAAAACUUUUACGAUUCAGAGUCGUUGCAAGACGUCUGUGG